rnacentral:tRNA from 1 species
AUCAACUUAGCAAAUUAAGUGCAAAUAAUUUAGAAUUAUUAAAAAAAGGUUAAAAUCCUUUAGUUGGUA